UUUAUUUUUAUUUUUUAUCCUUUGGAUAAUAUUUUAGAAGGGUUCACUUUGUAGGUUAUUAGUUAUUUAACAGUUGAAAUUAUUGAAUGUGCUUUUGUAGUAAUUUGUUCAUAACUUUGGCCUUGUUUUCUGCUGGUUUUUCUGAUGCCUGUUGCAAAUUUUCAUUAAUUUAUAGGUCAUGUUUAAGUGUGGUUUUAACAUGUAUUAGAGGCAUCAAUAUUAGCAGAAUAAUAAGUUGCUUGACCUGGGAGCCUUGGACAAUGAUGUGUGUGUUUAAGUGCACAAAUAACACUACAUAAUUAGAUUGGUAGGGACAUGUGGUUUCAACUUUCAAGAGUGAACAACUUUACUGGGAGCAUUUGUAUGCAACUUUAAAAGGAACAUGUGUAUGCACAUAUUUGAGCUUUAAGUAGAAGCCACUGAAAUGGAUACUUCCUGGAAUUGUACGCAUAUAGGGUAAGUGUAUAAGCCCCUUCCCUUACCCAACAACAAACUGCAAAAUUUUUGUGUGAGCUUUUCUUAUUCCUUUGUUCCUUCAUUUGUUCUUCACAGUACCACUAUUAAAAUCCAUCCUCCUAUACCGAUUCAAUUAUUGAACAUGAUCUCCUUAAGAGGUGAAAUUAUGGUUUUCUCCUAAAGAGGAAUGAGGCUGGAGGAAAAAGUUAGUUCAAAUAUUAAAAGUACAUUUUCCACAG
rnacentral:misc_RNA from 1 species